rnacentral:rRNA from 1 species
AACGAACGCUGGCGGCAUGCCUAACACAUGCAAGUCGAACGAGACCUUCGGGUCUAGUGGCGCACGGGUGCGUAACGCGUGGGAACCUGCCCUUAGGUUCGGAAUAACUCCCCGAAAGGGGUGCUAAUACCGGAUAAUGUCUUCGGACCAAAGAUUUAUCGCCUUUGGAUGGGCCCGCGUUGGAUUAGCUAGUUGGUAGGGUAAAAGCCUACCAAGGCGACGAUCCAUAGCUGGUCUGAGAGGAUGAUCAGCAACACUGGGACUGAGACACGGCCCAGACUCCUACGGGAGGCAGCAGUGGGGAAUAUUGGAAAAUGGGCGAAAGCAUGAUCCAGCAAGGACGCGUGAGUGAUGAAGGCCUUAGGGUUGUAAAGCUCUUUUAACCGGGAUGAUAAUGACAGUACCGGGAGAAUAAGCUCCGGCUAACUCCGUG